GGGUGCAUCCAGUUUCUGCGCCCAGAUUCUUCAGCUUGUUGUCUCUAACAGAGGAAGCAUUGAUUGGGAGCUACUCAUUCAGAAAAUUAAAAGAAAGAAGCCAGAAAAUAUUAUCAACCCUUUGAGAACACGACAUAACGAACUUUAUAUUUUACCACUUCCUUGAAUAGGAG
rnacentral:lncRNA from 1 species